UCGGCUCGUAGGUCGAUGAAGAACGCAGCCAGCUGCGAUAUCUAGUGUGAACUGCAGAACCUUUGAACACUAAACAUUCGAAUGCACAUUGCGCCAUUGGAGUCACUUCCUCUGGCACGCCUGGUUCAGGGUCGUUUACCAAAAACGCAAGACAAAUG
rnacentral:rRNA from 1 species